AUGGAGGGCCUCCACAACCUGCUCGCGCGCCCCAACUCCGCGCCGCUCGCCUUCUCCCUCCCGCGCCCGCGCCGCAGGCCGCCCGCCGCCGCCUGCCGCGCCGCGAGCCGCUGGGCCGACCGCCUCUUCGCCGACUUCCACCUCCUCCCCGCCGCCGCCGCCGCGCCCGAGCCGCCGGCCGCGGCCCCCGCCGGCGUCUCCGCGUCCCCCUGCGUCCCGCUCUUCCCCGACGCCGCCGACCGCGCUCUUCCCCUCCAGGUCGACUUCUACAAGGUUCUCGGCGCCGAGCCGCAUUUCCUCAGCGACGGCGUCAGGCGGGCCUUCGAGGCUCGGGCGGCCAAGCCACCGCAGUACGGCUACACCACAGACACCCUUGUUGGCCGUCGGCAAAUACUGCAGAUUGCACAUGAUACUCUCACAAACCAGAGCUCCCGCACCGAGUAUGACCGCGCGCUCUCUGAGGACCGUGACGCGGCGCUCACAUUGGAUGUUGCUUGGGACAAGGUUCCGGGUGUGCUGUGUGCCCUUCAGGAGGCUGGGGAGGCGCAGGCAGUGCUUGCAAUUGGAGGGCACUUACUGGAGGACCGCCCGCCCAAGCGGUUCAAGCAGGAUGUGGUGCUGGCAAUGGCGCUCGCUUAUGUGGAUCUAUCAAGGGACGCAAUGGCGGCUAGCCCUCCAGAUGUAAUCCGCUGCUGUGAGGUGCUUGAAAGGGCUCUCAAGCUUUUGCAGGAGGAUGGGGCAAUCAAUCUCGCACCUGGUUUGCUCUCACAAAUUGAUGAAACUCUGGAGGAUAUCACACCUCGUUGUGUUUUGGAGCUUCUUGCCCUUCCUCUUGAUGAAAAACAUCAGAAUGAACACCAAGAAGGUCUUCGUGGUGUGAGAAACAUUUUGUGGAGUGUUGGCAGAGGAGGUAUUGGUACUGUUGGAGGAGGAUUUUCGCGUGAAGCCUACAUGAAUGAGGCCUUCCUGCAGAUGACAUCGGCGGAGCAGAUGGAUUUCUUCUCAAAAACACCGAAUAGCAUACCGCCUGAAUGGUUUGAAAUCUAUAGCGUGGCACUUGCAAAUGUUGCUCAAGCAAUUGUAAGUAAAAGGCCAGAGCUCAUCAUGGUGGCAGAUGAUCUUUUUGAACAGCUCCAGAAGUUCAAUAUAGGUUCUCAAUAUGCUUAUGAUAAUGAGAUGGAUCUUGCGUUGGAAAGGGCACUUUGUUCACUGCUUGUGGGAGACAUUAGCAACUGCAGAAUUUGGCUUGCGAUUGAUAAUGAAUCCUCACCACAUAGAGACCCCAAAAUUGUAGAGUUUAUUGUGAACAACUCUAGCAUCGACCACCAGGAGAAUGAUCUUCUUCCAGGCCUGUGUAAGCUUUUGGAGACUUGGCUUGUCUCAGAGGUUUUCCCUAGGAGUAGAGAUACUCGAGGCAUGCAGUUUACACUUGGAGACUACUACGAUGAUCCAAAAGUUUUAAGCUACCUAGAAAUGAUGGAAGGUGGUGGUGCUUCUCAUUUGGCUACUGCUGCUGCUAUAGCAAAACUCGGUGCUCAAGCUACAGCUGCGCUUGGUACCGUGAAAUCAAGUGCUAUCCAAGCAUUCAACAAGAUUUUUCCAUUGAUAGAACAGCUAGAUCGAUCAGCCAUGGAGAAUCCUAAUGUUGGCCUUGAGGAAUCUGUCAAUAAAUUUGACCAGAAAACUAUUAUGGGAUUUGAUAUCCGUGAUUCCAAAAAUGCUGCCCUGAAGAUUGUCGCUGCCAGUGCAUUAUUUGCUCUGAUGACAGUAAUAGGCCUGAAGUACUUGCCUCGUAACAAGGUGCUCCCUGCUAUUGGAAGCGAGCAUGAGUCCAUGACAGUUGCUAAUGUUGUUGACUCAGUUGAUGAUGAUGCACCAGAUGAGCCAAUACAGAUUCCUAGAAUGGAUGCGAAUCUGGCAGAAGGUAUUGUUCGCAAGUGGCAGAGUAUCAAAUCCAAGGCCUUCGGAUCAGAUCAUUCUGUGGAAUCAUUGCAAGCGGUUCUUGAUGGCAACAUGCUGAAGGUAUGGAGGGACCGAGCAGCGGAGAUCGAGCGCAAAGGCUGGUUCUGGGACUACACGCUGUCCGACGUGGCUAUCGACAGUAUCACCGUCUCCCUGGACGGACGGCGGGCGACCGUGGAGGCGACGAUCGAGGAGGCAGGUCAGCUCACCGAUGCAACCGACCCGAGGAACAACGAUUUGUACGACACAAAGUACACCACCCGGUACGAGAUGACCUUCACCGGGCCAGGAGGGUGGAAGAUAACCGAAGGCGCGGUCCUCAAGUCGUCAUAG
rnacentral:rRNA from 1 species